UAGGGAAUCUUCCGCAAUGGGCGAAAGCCUGACGGAGCAACGCCGCGUGAGUGAUGAAGGUCUUCGGAUCGUAAAACUCUGUUAUUAGGGAAGAACAAAUGUGUAAGCAACUAUGCACGUCUUGACGGUACCUAAUCAGAAAGCCACGGCUAACUACGUGCCAGCAGCCGCGGUAAUACGUAGGUGGCAAGCGUUAUCCGGAAUUAUUGGGCGUAAAGCGCGCGUAGGCGGUUUUUUAAGUCUGAUGUGAAAGCCCACGGCUCAACCGUGGAGGGUCAUUGGAAACUGGAAAACUUGAGUGCAGAAGAGGAAAGUGGAAUUCCAUGUGUAGCGGUGAAAUGCGCAGAGAUAUGGAGGAACACCAGUGGCGAAGGCGACUUUCUGGUCUGUAACUGACGCUGAUGUGCGAAAGCGUGGGGAUCAAACAGG
rnacentral:rRNA from 1 species